rnacentral:rRNA from 1 species
CCUACGGGUGACAGCAGUGGGGGAUAUUGCACAAUGGGGGAAACCCUGAUGCAGCGACGCCGCGUGGGUGAAGAAGCGCCUCGGCGCGUAAAGCCCUGUCAGCAGGGAAGAAAAUGACGGUAUCUGAAGAAUAAGCACCGGCUAACUACGUGCCAGCAGCCGCGGUAAUACGUAGGGGGCAAGCGUUAUCCGGAUUUACUGGGUGUAAAGGGGGCGCAGACGGCGAUGCAAGCCAGGAGUGAAAGCCCGGGGCCCAACCACGGGACUGCUCUUGGAACUGCGUGGCUAGAGUGCAGGAGGGGCAGGCGGAAUUCCUGGUGUAGCGGUGAAAUGCGUAGAUAUCAGGAGGAACACUGGUGGCGAAGGCGGCCUGCUGGACUGCAACUGACGUUGAGGCCCGAAAGCGUGGGGAGCAAACAGGAUUAGAUACCCUUGUAGUC